rnacentral:rRNA from 1 species
CCUACGGGAGGCAGCAGUGGGGGAUAUUGCACAAUGGGGGGAACCCUGAUGCAGCGACGCCGCGUGGGUGAAGAAGCGCCUCGGCGCGUAAAGCCCUGUCAGCAGGGAAGAAAAUGACGGUACCUGAAGAAGAAGCCCCGGCUAACUACGUGCCAGCAGCCGCGGGAAUACGUAGGGGGCAAGCGUUAACCGGAUUUACUGGGGGUAGAGGGGGCGCAGACGGCGCUGCAAGCCAGGAGUGAAAGCCCGGGGCCCAACCCCGGGACUGCUCUUGGAACUGCGUGGCUGGAGUGCAGGAGGGGCAGGCGGAAUUCCUGGUGUAGCGGUGAAAUGCGUAGAUAUCAGGAGGAACACCGGUGGCGAAGGCGGUCUGCUGGACUGCAACUGACGUUGAGGCCCGAAAGCGUGGGGAGCAAACAGGAUUAGAUACCCUUGUAGUC